rnacentral:rRNA from 1 species
GACGAACGCUGGCGGCGUGCCUAACACAUGCAAGUCAGGGAGAAAGAGGUAGCAAUAUCUCGAGUAAACCGGCGAACGGGUGCGUAACGCGUAGGCAACCUUCCUUGUGGACGGGGAUAACCCCGGGAACCGGGGAGUAAUACCGACUGUUAUUCAGUGGCGAGCAUUGUUCGGUUGUAAUAAAAAGGACCCGGAAACGGGACGGCCACUGGGAGUGGGCCGUCGCGUCCC